rnacentral:rRNA from 1 species
UACGUAGGGGGCAAGCGUUGUCCGGAUUUAUUGGGCGUAAAGAGCGUGUAGGCGGCUAUACAGGUCCGUUGUGAAAACUCGAGGCUCAACCUCGAGACGCCGAUGGAAACCGUAUGGCUAGAGUCCGGAAGAGGAGAGCGGAAUUCCUGGUGUAGCGGUGAAAUGCGCAGAUAUCAGGAAGAACACCCGUGGCGAAGGCGGCUCUCUGGGACGGUACUGACGCUGAGGAGCGAAAGCGUGGGGAGCGAACAGG